rnacentral:rRNA from 1 species
CCUACGGGAGGCAGCAGUAGGGAAUUUUCGGCAAUGGGGGGAACCCUGACCGAGCAACGCCGCGUGAACGAAGAAGUUAUUCGUAAUGUAAACUUCUUUUGUCAGGGACGAAGCAAGUGACGGUACCUGACGAAUAAGCCACGGCUAACUACGUGCCAGCAGCCGCGGUAAUACGUAGGUGGCAAGCGUUAUCCGGAUUUACUGGGUGUAAAGGGCGUGUAGGCGGGACUGCAAGUCAGAUGUGAAAACCACGGGCUCAACCUGUGGCCUGCAUUUGAAACUGUAGUUCUUGAGUACUGGAGAGGCAGACGGAAUUCCUAGCGUAGCGGUGAAAUGCGUAGAUAUUAGGAGGAACACCAGUGGCGAAGGCGGUCUGCUGGACAGCAACUGACGCUGAGGCGCGAAAGCGUGGGGAGCAAACAGGAUUAGAUACCCUGGUAGUC